rnacentral:lncRNA from 1 species
CAGUCAUACGCCCAUCACCGUAAGGUCCUGAUGGGCAGGCUCUAGAAGGAAGGCUGUGGGUCUCUAGCUGUGAUGCUGACUGACCCCGGGCAGAUCGCUUCCCUUCUCUGGUCAUCCAACUCCUCAUCAGUUGAAAGAGGCAGUGGCUGCCAUUGUUCUUCAUGAUGUCCUGAGCGUGGUCUUUGAAUCCAGUGCAGAGCUGUUAGCAAGACGCUUCCUGAGGAAACACAGUGAAAUGCUUUGGAAUGAGAGACUGCUGUGUCAGUGAGGGUACGCUGUAUGGAACCUCAAGAGAUUUGUGUUUCAUCCUUACAUCUCAGAAGCAGCUUUUUGAACUCGCCAGCAGGAAGGGGAGGAGAUAUUCUGGAUGGUUCUGCCUACAAAAGUACCACCCAUCUCUACCUGAUUGCAGGAUGCCCACCUAGAUGGAUAGUGGAAGGGUCAGCUUAUUUACCCUAGAGCUCAGAGAGAAAAUGGACCACAGGAAACAUGCUGCAUACACCUGGACAGGACGUAACCAAGGAGACCAUGCAUGAAGAGCCGAGUCCUGAAACCUGCUUGCUCGGGGUGGAGCUUCCUGCUCAUUCGUUCUGCCACGCCCACUGCUGGAACCUGAGGAGCCACACACGUGCACCUUUCUACUGGACCAGAGAUUAUUCGGCGGGAAUCGGGUCCCCUCCCCCUUCCUUCAUAACUAGUGUCCCAACAAUAAAAUUUGAGCUUUGAUCAGAA